GAUGAACGCUGGCGGCGUGCCUAACACAUGCAAGUCGAACGGAGUCCAGCCUUUAAGACCGUCCUGGCGAAGCGGGGAAGACUGUGUGGCGGACGUGUGAGUAACACGUGGGCAACCUGGCUCAUAGAGGCUGGUAACAGUGAGAAAUUUCUGCUAAUACCGCAUAAGCACACACUGCAGCAUUGCAGGGGGGGGGAAGGGAAUCGGGAUGAGAUGGAGCUGCGUAUGAUUAGGCAGUUGGCAGGGUAAGAGCAUACCAAAGCGACGAUCAGUAGCCGGACGGAGAGCAGGAACAGUCACACUGGGACAGAGACCAGACUCAAACUCGUGCGAGAGGCAGCAGAGGGGGAUAUUGGACAAUGGGGCGAACGCUGAUGCAGCGACGGCGGGUGAGUGAAGAAGUAUUUGUGUAUGUAAAGCUCUAUUAGCAGAGAAGAUAAUGACAGUAGUUGAAUAAGAAGCCCCGGCUAACUACGUG
rnacentral:rRNA from 1 species